rnacentral:rRNA from 1 species
AGAACAUAUGUGUAAGUAACUGUGCACAUCUUGACGGUACCUAAUCAGAAAGCCACGGCUAACUACGUGCCAGCAGCCGCGGUAAUACGUAGGUGGCAAGCGUUAUCCGGAAUUAUUGGGCGUAAAGCGCGCGUAGGCGGUUUUUUAAGUCUGAUGUGAAAGCCCACGGCUCAACCGUGGAGGGUCAUUGGAAACUGGAAAACUUGAGUGCAGAAGAGGAAAGUGGAAUUCCAUGUGUAGCGGUGAAAUGCGCAGAGAUAUGGAGGAACACCAGUGGCGAAGGCGACUUUCUGGUCUGUAACUGACGCUGAUGUGCGAAAGCGUGGGGAUCAAACAGGAUUAGAUACCCUGGUAGUCCACGCCGUAAACGA